GGUCAGGAAAGAAAGGGCGUAUGGCGGAUGCCAUGGGCACACGAAGGCGAGGAAGGACGCAGCGAACAGCGAAAUGCGCCGGGGAGCCGUAAGCAGGCGAUGAUCCGGCGGUAUCCGAAUGGGGAAACCCGGGAGGCCGAGAGCCUCUCAUCGCGCGGCGAACACAUAGCCGCGGCGAGGCGAUACGCGGGGAACUGAAACAUCUAAGUACCCGCAGGAAGAGAAAUCAAACGAGAAUCCGCAAGUAGCGGCGAGCGAAAACGGACGAGCCCAAACCGGCCAAGGCCGGGGUAGUAGGACCUGCAGCGAAGCGGAUGACGCAUCCCCAGGGGAAGCGCCUGGGAGGGCGCUCCAUAGAGGGCGAAGGACCCGUACCCGAAGGGGAGGCGUCAGCGCGAGCAGGGAUCCUGAGUACGGCGGGACACGAGGAAUCCUGCCGGAAGCAUCG
rnacentral:rRNA from 1 species